rnacentral:rRNA from 1 species
AUUGAACGCUGGCGGCAUGCUUUACACAUGCAAGUCGAACGGCAGCACGGACUUCGGUCUGGUGGCGAGUGGCGAACGGGUGAGUAAUACAUCGGAACGUGCCCAGUUGUGGGGGAUAACUACUCGAAAGAGUAGCUAAUACCGCAUGAGAACUGAGGUUGAAAGCAGGGGAUCGUAAGACCUUGCGCAACUGGAGCGGCCGAUGGCAGAUUAGGUAGUUGGUGGGAUAAAAGCUUACCAAGCCGACGAGCUGUAGCUGGUCUGAGAGGACGGCCAGCCACACUGGGACUGAGACACGGCCCAGAUGCCUACGGGGGGAAGCAGUGGGGAAUGUUGAAGAAUGGGCGAAAUACUGAUACAGCAAUGCGGCAUGCAGGAUGAAGGACUUAGGAUUGAAAACUGAUUUUGUACGGAACGAAAAGCUUAGGAUUAAUACCCUGCAAUCAUGACGGUACCGUAAGAAUAAGCACCGGCUAACUACGUGCCAGCAGCCGCCGUAAUAC